AGAGUUUGAUCCUGGCUCAGGAUGAACGCUGGCGGCGUGCUUAACACAUGCAAGUCGAACGGGAAACCUUUUAUUGAAGCUUCGGCAGAUUUAGCUGGUUUCUAGUGGCGGACGGGUGAGUAACGCGUGGGUAACCUGCCCUGUACAGGGGGAUAACAGUUGGAAACGGCUGCUAAUACCGCAUAAGCGCACGAGAGGACAUCCUCUUGUGUGAAAAACUCCGGUGGUACAGGAUGGGCCCGCGUCUGAUUAGCUGGUUGGCAGGGUAACGGCCUACCAAGGCGACGAUCAGUAGCCGGUCUGAGAGGAUGAACGGCCACAUUGGAACUGAGACACGGUCCAAACUCCUACGGGAGGCAGCAGUGGGGAAUAUUGCACAAUGGGGGAAACCCUGAUGCAGCAACGCCGCGUGAGUGAAGAAGUAUUUCGGUAUGUAAAGCUCUAUCAGCAGGGAAGAUAAUGACGGUACCUGACUAAGAAGCUCCGGCUAAAUACGUGCCAGCAGCCGCGGUAAUACGUAUGGAGCAAGCGUUAUCCGGAUUUACUGGGUGUAAAGGGUGCGUAGGUGGCAGUGCAAGUCAGAUGUGAAAGGCCGGGGCUCAACCCCGGAGCUGCAUUUGAAACUGCAUAGCUAGAGUACAGGAGAGGCAGGCGGAAUUCCUAGUGUAGCGGUGAAAUGCGUAGAUAUUAGGAGGAACACCAGUGGCGAAGGCGGCUUACUGGACGGUAACUGACGUUGAGGCUCGAAAGCGUGGGGAGCAAACAGGAUUAGAUACCCUGGUAGUCCACGCGGUAAACGAUGAAUGCUAGGUGUCGGGG
rnacentral:rRNA from 1 species